rnacentral:rRNA from 1 species
UACGUAGGGUGCGAGCGUUAAUCGGAAUUACUGGGCGUAAAGCGCGUGUAGGCUGACCGGAAAGUCGGGCGUGAAAUCCCUGAGCUCAACUCAGGAACUGCACUCGAAACUCUCGGUCUAGAGUGGUGGAGAGGGAAGUGGAAUUCCUGGUGUAGAGGUGAAAUUCGUAGAUAUCAGGAGGAACACCAGUGGCGAAGGCGGCUUCCUGGACACCAACUGACGCUGAGACGCGAAAGCGUGGGGAGCAAACAGG